rnacentral:rRNA from 1 species
GACGAACGCUGGCGGCGUGCCUAAUACAUGCAAGUCGAACGCAUUUUCUUUCACCGUAGCUUGCUACACCGAAAGAAAAUGAGUGGCGAACGGGUGAGUAACACGUGGGUAACCUGCCCAUCAGCGGGGGAUAACACUUGGAAACAGGUGCUAAUACCGCAUAAUUCCAUUUACCGCAUGGUAAAGGGAUGAAAGGCGCUUUUGCGUCACUGAUGGAUGGACCCGCGGUGCAUUAGCUAGUUGGGGGGGUAACGGCCUACCAAGGCUGCGAUGCAUAGCCGACCUGAGAGGGUGAUCGGCCACACUGGGACUGAGACACGGCCCAGACUCCUACGGGAGGCAGCAGUAGGGAAUCUUCGGCAAUGGACGCAAGUCUGACCGAGCAACGCCGCGUGAGUGAAGAAGGUUUUCGGAUCGUAAAACUCUGUUGUUAGAGAAGAACAAGGAUGAGAGUGGAAAGUUCAUCCCUUGACGGUAUCUAACCAGAAAGCCACGGCUAACUACGUG